UACGUAGGGAGCAAGCGUUGUUCGGAAUUACUGGGCGUAAAGCGUGCGCAGGCGGUGAUGUAAGACCGAUGUGAAAUCCCCGGGCUUAACCUGGGAACUGCAUUGGUGACUGCAUUGCUGGAGUAUGGCAGAGGGGGGUGGAAUUCCACGUGUAGCAGUGAAAUGCGUAGAGAUGUGGAGGAACACCGAUGGCGAAGGCAGCCCCCUGGGCCAAUACUGACGCUCAUGCACGAAAGCGUGGGGAGCAAACAGG
rnacentral:rRNA from 1 species